UGGAUCAUGUGUUUCUAUGGGAUCGACUUCCCCCAUGGUAACUGUUGUUAAAGAUGAAGGUGAUUUACCUGGAAAUUAUACACACAUUGAGAGGAGAAAAUAUAUUGGAUUAAACAGACUGAAGAUGAUUGUAAUUAAAAGUAACUUUGCCUCAAGAGAAACUACAAAGAAAAGGUAAAUGUAUCCAAAUAAUGAUUUUGUGGAUCAAUUUACAAGACAAGACACAAAAAUACUUACAAUUUGCAACAAUUAACUGGUCAUUGUUGUAACUUUUUUGGUUUGAUUCUUCUCGAGAUCCUUCAACUUGACUAUCAUCUACAUCCAACCUACAAGUCCCAUUAACGGCAUCAUUUGAAUCAACAGAUAUCUCUGAAUUAUACUCAGAGCCCGAAAUUGGCUGUUUAAAGUGAUCAUGAAUUUCGGUGGUUGAAAAGAGACCAUUUAAGGACAAGGUUAAAAAGGAAAAACAAUGAAUUAAUGAGAGUCAAGAUCAGAAAGAUAGCAAUCAAAGUAAUUUGAUGUUAAUCUUCUCGUGGCAAACAAAAGUGUCAACAUUUCAUUUCCGGUUCACGAGUCUAUUUGAGUUAAUCAUUAUAAACUAGUUCCCUGAUAGCAUAUCAUGUAUAUGCCUCAACUACAGUUAUAUUUGUAAAAGGCAGAAGACAUUGUGUAAUUGCAACAGUUGAUAGAUGAAUCGAUUUUGUCUCCCUGAAUGUUAACCCGUAACAAUGAACCGGUAAUUCACCUUAGUUUCCGGUUAUCAGAAUAUUCGAUAUAAAAUAAUAAGUGAUGGACAAGAUGCUGAGACUGGAAUAAAAUGGAAGAUAAAAAAGGAUAGAAAUGGCCUGAAUUCUGUCUUCAAUAUACACUAGAAGUCGAAAUUUAUUCCAAUUCCUUCAAUGCUCAUUUUCAUCUUCUUAUUAUACUAAUAGUAUUCAUCUAAAGUUUUGCACCUUUCGAACUCUUUUCACUACAGUCUAUUGGUUAACCCGGAAGUUGAAUGAUGUCCGAGUAAUUUAAGAUUUUGGUAACAGUAAAUUAAGGAGAUUGUUGUGAAAAUUGAGAGGGAAAUCAAUUGCUGAUAUUACGAUGAGAUUGAUUUCUUUUCAUCAUAUACAUGUAUUAUUGUCUUUGUUUGGCUCAUCGGAUUAACCAUUAGCCCCCAAUGGUUUUCGCUAUUACCUUUUUAUGUUUAGGCUAAAGCUAAUUACCAAUGACCAUGAUGGUUUGCAAGGACGAUUCUUGAAUCUAUUGAUCACCAUGGAAUUGGAGAAACAUUGAAUGAUCAUUAACCAUCACUUUGAACGAGAAUUCAUAUGGAUCAUCAUUUGAUUAGAAAUCAAGAAACUCGAAUGAUAAUGAUGAUGAUAGAAAAGGAAAAAGUUAAUGUCACAGUCAAUCAGUGAAAUCUAUCAACGGUGGACAUCAUCAUCAUUAUCAUCAUGGAAAAAAACAGAGAACUGUAAGUGUAAAGAUGAUAGUUAAAGAUAAAAGACCAAGAUGAUAAACUUUGUGAAGAUAAAAAAACAUCUAUGACGCUUUCACUACAGUUGACACAUUGGAUUAUCUAUGAGAUGAGGAAUGAGAAGAAGAUGAUAAAAGAGAAGAAGAGAAAAAACCUACAUUGAUAUAUUGUCAUUUUGACAAUAAGUGUUACCUGAUUAAAUGGAUGCCCAUGAGCUUGAGAAUCAAAGGCAUCAACCUGAACAGAAUAACCAGAAACUUGGAUUCUGUGAAUAUUUAUAUUUGCUCACAGGGAAUGUCAACCGCCACCACAAUCAAAGAUACAACUUUUACCCCCACACUUAUCUUCAUCUUUAUCAUCAUUGUACAACCUUUUUUAACUCCAUUUUCCUUCUUGUUGUUCCAGUUCUCUUCACUUUUUUUCUUCUUUUAGAUCCACCCCAGUUUCUCAAGUUCGAGUGUUACUCAUGAUAUUGAUUUUACGUUACUCGAACCAUGAAAAUGGCCUGAAGACAAAGCAAGAACAGUAACCCAGAAAGAAGUGCAUGCAAAGAGGAGGAAAAGUACAAAGUAUGGAAGGAGAGUAAAUGUAAAGUCCACCUCUUCCCUUGAACAAUUCUGUUGAUUAACAAGAAAAAAAGAAUGAGGGAGAAAGAGAGAGAGAGAGAGAGAGAGAGCAAAGAACCGAAUUCUAUGUAUUAUUUUAUAACAUAAAUGAUGGUUCGCCCCAUGAAACCUUCCAUGAUUCUGUCAUCAACAAUAAGCAGAAACAAGAUUUACAUUCAAAUCUAGACUUUGAUGGUUGACGUUAUAAGCCAGUGAAAUGAGAAAGGAUAAGAGAGGGAAAAAGUUUCUCUCUAUUAAAAGAACUCAAGUUGAAGUUUGUGGUCUAACCUGAUGGUGGACAUUCAUGGAGAUGGAGAAGUUGAAACACAUACAGAGUGUACGAAGUAAAUUUAAUCAACUUUUAAGGAAAAGAUCAUGAUGACAGAGAAAAAGUUAGUUAAGAGAAGAGAUAAAUAAGAAGAUGAAGAUCAAAUGAGGAAGGAAGAAAGGAAAGAACUAAAUUCAGUAGAUCAAUCAAUUUGUUCAUUCAUCUAAUUUGUUUUCAAUGGAAGAGGAAAACAAACGAAAAAAAAGGAAUACAUAAAAGAAAGCGAAAUAACCUCAGAAGAAAUGGAAUAUUCAAAAGCAACAAUUUCUCUCGAGAGGAACAAGAGAAGAAAGAAAAAAAGAGAGAAAAAACCAUUUAAUGUAAUAGUUAAAUUGGAAGAAAAGAGAAAAGAUGAAAGCAGGAAAAUGAGAAGAGCUAAGAAGAUGUAACAUGAAGGCGAUUUAAAGCCGUCAGGUUAAUCUUUGUCUCCAUCGAACCCUGAUGAAGGUUUAGAAGAAAAGUUCUAAGGCAGAACAAAUUAUCCAACAUGAGCUACGAGAUGGAAUUGUUGAAGAAGAAGAUACAGAAAACAGAGGAGGAGAAAAGCCUCGAACUGUGUCAGAUGAGAAGCACCAAAUACCCUUUAGGUAAGAGGAGUUUCACUCAACAGAAUCUUCCCUUCCCUUUGUAAUAUAAAACUCGAAGAAAAAAUAAUUUGGUAAGCUGAUGAUCCAAAGCCAAAGCUUCAGCUUUUGGCCUCUGGUCAACCAGGUUACUAAUCAGUAAAACUCCAUGUCAUCAUCAUCAUCAGCAUCUUCUUCUUUUCCCUCAUCAUCAUCAUUAUACUUCGAACUGUUGCUUUUGUUCUAUUCUUUUUUGUUCACUUUUCUCUUUCAUCCCUUGUUAUUUUAUCUUCUUUUCAACAUUAUCAUCAUCAUCAUUAUCUUUCUUAACUCCUCCUCAUCAUCAUCGUCUCUUUCUUGUUGUAGAUUAAGUUGAUCAAAAUCAAGGUAAAUUAACACACUAGAUUUUGAUGGUUUGUUGAUUAUUGAGCAAAAACCAUCACCCAAACUAACCUGCUCUCUGACACUCUGAACAUCCCACUCUUAUAAUCAACCAACAAUCUAUUCAAUCAUUUUAACCUUCAUUAUUGUUGAACAAUUAAAAAACAAAAACUUAUUGGAUUAACUGUACUUACAGGAAUAUGUUUCAUCUUUCACUAUAUGAGAACAAAAAAAUUAACCAACUUUACUUAUCCUCUUGCAAGUGAAUCAACAAUAGUGUUCACGUUGAUUGUUAACAAUAAUUGCGUGAGUUCAUUAAUCAGGAAAAACAAUCACAAAAUCGAGAUGAAACCAACUCAUUCCCUCCCUGAACAAUCAACUCAUAGAUUUCCACCCAAAUUAACAUUCAUUUUUGAUCAGUCAAAUUUUCUGUCUUUCAUUAAUUCAAAUUUCCCUUGAAAAUGUUGACAAUCAAGCGAAUUGUAAUCAUUUUUUUUUUCUUGCGUCCGAAAUGUUGAUUAUUUCCAAUUGAAAAGCAAUUAACUCACCUCAUCUGUAGCUCCAUUCA